UGUUAUUAUUAGAAUCUUAAUUUUAGUAUUUAGGUUAGCAUUAGAAAUUAGAUAUUACUUGGCGGUUGGUAAAAGGUAUGUCGGUUGACAAACCGUCACCUCCACCCUAUAUAUAUAAUGUAUUCUCUAACAUUUGUAAUCACCAAGAUAUUCAAUAAUAAUAUCCAUUUACAAGAAUUCGUUGUAUACUCUCUGUACAAACACGUACAGAGUCACAAACAGGAAUACGACAAUGAUGAUGAUAACGGCUUCCACUAACAUAGUGGUAUCAGAGCCUCGUUGAAGUUGAAGAUCGAUCCAUCAAGAAGCAACAAAACGAGACCGCAAUCAAGAACCAGGAUUUCCAGCAAAGAAAAGAAGAUCCUGAAAGAUCUCAGGAGGAUGCGAUUGGAACAAAAUGUUGUUCCAACAAUGAAUUACGUCUGCAAGAAGAACCGUGGAAUAGCGAACGGAAUCGAUAAGGAUUCCUAGAAUUUAAAAUACGGACAAGUGUCCCAAGUUCCAGCCAUGUGAGGGUUGAAGACGGCUAUGGUGUGGGCCGUAGUAUUCACACGGAUGGGGAAUCAUUCAACAAUACCAGACGGGGAAAAGAUGAAGUACCAAAUGUGAAUGUCGCAACACGUGUAGAUGACGAAGAAGACGUUCGAUCGAAGAAGGUAAUCAAAGCGAACUUUGCGGGUCUUACAAUCGGUGAUGACAGGCUGAUGUAUAAAAACGGUAGAAGGCUAAUCAAACAGCAGGCCAAACGAGCAAGGAUGAAAUUCAAAAAAAAGAAGCCAUGAUUGCACAUUCAAGACGAAGCCAACAGGAGCGUAGCGUUAUGAUGCAUUCUCGAAGGAGCGAUUACGUGACAACCGGUGAUUUACGGCUCCUAAUUACAUGAUUAAUAGAUGACUAACGCGACAAUAAAUAGUGUUUACAGCACAAAUUAACUUAAUUAGGCCUUUGGAGUGCCUAGGAACGCUUACCGACUCUAUAGUACGUGUAUGAAGAUUCGCGUGGAAUUUGCGGAACAUCAAAUGACAACGGACUGAUACCGUACAAAAUACUGACAACGCCACUAUUUUACGCCUUUUUAAUUUUAAAAAAUUUAUUCUAUGGAGUUUGGGUUACGAUAUCGGGCCUCGUAGGAAUUACGAGCCACUUACACAUGAGAUGCGCUUUUGGGCCCUGGCCCAAGCCCAAAACCCACGAGCCUAAACUUGCACAUAAUACAAGAUCUAUGCAAAAUCUUCACAAGAUUCACAAAUCUUAUCAAAUCUAUAUUAAAUCUAUACAAAAGAUUUAGAAGAUCUCUACAAUCUAUAUAUAUCCUUGCCUAUACCUGAUUUUAUCAAUAUACACACACAAAACAAAAUCCACUACUGCACCUCCUAAUUUCCCCCAUCUCCCUCUCGAGAUCCUCCUGAUACCCACAAAUCCAACAUCACAUAUGAGCAUUAUCUCUCUCAAAUACAUUCAACAUCAAAGCCAAACAUCCAAUUGUCUCCUCCUCUCCCACUCGACAACACCCACCCCCUUCUCUCGAUGACUGGCCAACGAGCCGGCUGCCGGAGCAACACCGGCCGCACUCACCACAGUAGCCCCCCCUCUUCCUUCAAUAACACCCGUAACCACCUCCCUUCGAGACCGAUGAAUGACCGACCACCAUCACCACAAUCUGUGUCGGCGAGAGAGAGAGACGACGGGAUGGAAAGAUUGAGAGGAGAAAGAGAUUGACGGCGACAAACCGCCGUCAGUGGCGGAGCCACAACGGUGGUGGAGCGGCGACGGCGGCGGUGUAUGUUUUUGUUCAGUUCUGGUAUCUUCAAGUUUAGGUUCAAGUUAGAUGUCGGUUCAGGUGCGGUUCGGUUCACCUCAGAAUUCAGUUCAGGAUCUCGGGUCUUUUGGUUCAUGGUUCGGGUCAGUAUCGGCACGGUACAGGUGAACUCGGUUCAGUUUAGAUUUGACGGUGGUUCGGGGCGACGCUGGCAACGGCUGAGCACGGCGGCAGUACCGCUGCUUACAGUGACGGUGGUAUGUUCUCUCGACAAAAUCUCCGUUAAGGACUUUCGGGUUUUCGGGUUAAACCCGGUUGACUCAGUCAACACCCGAGUCAACUCGGGUCAACAGCAGGUCGAACGUGGUCAAGGGCAGUCAACGAGUCGGUUCGGGUCAGUGGUUUCGGGUUAGAUUAUGAAGCAGA